GACGUAGGAGGCGAGCGUUGUCCGGAUUCAUUGGGCGUAAAGAGCACGCAGGCGGUUUGGCAAGUCGGAUGUGAAAGCCCGGAGCUCAACUCCGGACCUGCAUCCGAAACUGCCCGACUAGAGGUAGGUAGGGGAGAUCGGAAUUCCUGGUGUAGCGGUGAAAUGCGCAGAUAUCAGGAAGAACACCCGUGGCUAAGGCGGCUCUCUAGUACGGUACUGACGCUGAGACGCGAAAGCGUGGGGAGCGAACAGG
rnacentral:rRNA from 1 species